UGAACACACAGAGCAUUGGUGGUUUUAACAGUUAGCUCCUACCACUGAUAGACCAAGCCUUCAGACUCAGUACAGGCUUAAGGUAAAAACCAUUUUCCCCUCAUUAUUAAGCAGGCCUGGGAAAAAUACAAACAAGAUGUACAAUAGAAUAAUCGUGCAUGUGGCUCGUCCCAUACCGAUAGAUGACUUAAGAAUCUCCACUGUGUUGAUCAUGGGACCUCAGGUGUGCAAACCUCAGGGGAUCAUACAGGGGUUCAAUCCUGAGGGGACCAAACGUGGGUUAAAUUCUCAGGGAACCAAACAACAGUUGUGCAAACCUCAGGGAAUGAAACAACAGGAGUUCCAGCAUGAGGGGCGCAUACAGGAGUUCAGUCCUCAGGGGAUCAAACAACAGUUUUACAAACCUCAGGGGACCAAAAUAAAGACGACCUAUUACAAGGUGAUGGAGAGGGCCCACUUAACACCCCAUGAAAAAUACCAGGGGCCUAUCACAUCGAACAUGGAAUAUGGAUGGCAUGUCACCAAGCAGAACACAACAGAAGCAUCAGACCAAAGGAAAUUCGGAAGGCGGACCACUGAGGUUACCGAUCCAUCUCGCUAUACUUCCACCAAGUAAAAAAUCAACACACCAGGAUGCCAUUUGUGGCACCCACAUAUUUAGAUGAAAGGUGGGACUAAAACAGGAGGAGAGGUGAUGGGGAAAAGGCAAGUUUGAAACUGAAUUCCCUAUUGGAGUAGACAGUUUUAAACUCGGAAAAAAAAACAUUGUGGCAACAUGUAAUUAAGCAAAAACAAUCAAAGAACACGAGACAUGGCACAUAGGUAGGCUGGGGUGGGUGGUUGGCUGUAAGUUAGGUUUUUGUAACCAUCUACAUGGUAAGGAUAAAUAGCCUAAAAUAAUGACUCCUAAUCUCUAUGGGCCCUAUUCUCCAGUCUGGACUGAAGUGCUUUUUUACGCACCUGCAGUUACACGCCUCCUGCGCGUAUUGGCUUAACAUUGGACAUAGUAUGGUAAUAGUUGGACAUUACUGUGGCCAACGAUGACAGAUGUCUGAGGUCUGUCAGAGUUUCAUUUAUCAAGCAGCAGCAGCCAAGGUGCAACUUGGGUGUGCACAGCUGUGAGCUCCAAGAAGCAGCACCCGCCGUCUCUUCAGGAAAAGGAGUGGAUGGCACGGAUCUGGUCCUGUCUAGAAUUGUUAAAUGUGAACAUAUUGAACCCCGUGACAGUGUAACAGCCUGACGGUGUCAGUUUGGAUAGAUUCUUUCUGGAAGUCUCUUUUGCAACAUUAUGAGUCCGUGUGGCUUAAAUUGUAACUGAGUCCAAACUUCUAGUGCAAUAUAAUAUUUCACCUUAUGGGGGCGCUGCACUUAUUCCAGGUUGAGAAGAAUGUAAGAGGAAAAGAAAUUAAGCAGAUGGGAGAACACACGCAAGGCCAGAUUUGAAUGGGAACGCCCACAUUUCAGGGUUGCUCCACUCAGAGUGCAUAACUGGGAUCAAGACACACAGUGACUGUCUUAAGUACAGGGAGAGAAUAACACGCAUCCAAAAACGGCGCCGCUGUGCGGCUUAUCUGACUUACGCGCAUGGAAGAAUAGAGCCAUAAAUAAAUAAAUAAUUAGACGUUAGGGGUUUGUAGGG
ensembl:lncRNA